AGGUGGCUAGCACUAAGCUAGGAAUGGUGUUUGCUGCUCUUUCCAAAACGAUUUUUGCAUGUUUCUCUUUUCUCUGGGCUCAGCCAUGCUUUUGUUCUGUGGUUGUGUCACAAUGCCCGGGGUUGGGAGCUCCCAUGCCUCUGCCUGCCCUGGGGAAAGGGAAGAGGGCUUUGUUCCUUCUUUCACAUCUCUAUUACUCUGUGUGUGCUGCUAUGCAGUGAUGCUUGGACACUGCCUCAGUUGCUGUGGGGUGUGUUUUGCCCGUUUCUGACUGGUAGGAGUGCAGGACAGAAGCAAGGCAACGGCACUGAGCUCUGCCCCAAGCUGGGACCAGCCCAGAGGCAGCAGGAAGGUGGAGGAGGAGAUGGAGGAUGAGCAGUGGUCUGCCCAUUACUGUGGGGCUGUGCUCUGCAGCACCCAGCAACGCUCAGAACUGAUGCAUUAAAAACACCUUCAAAAAGCAGCUCUUUAAUGGGAGAGAUGCGCUUGCUGAGACCUGGCUGCUUUCAGAAACUGCGGUGAGCUUCAAUGCAACAGCACAGCGUGAUUGAAGGAGGGGGAGCAGUGACGAUGGGAUUAGGUAAGCGCACUCCUUUAUUCAUCCCUCACUUUUAUUGCCAAAAACCUAAAUAAGCAUCAAACUCGCUCCUUUUAUUGCAGAAGGUUUUAGCUCCCAAUAAGCAGCUGGAGUCAUCUCUUUGAAAUCCUUACAGAUAAGGUGGGGAGGAGAAGGGACAGUGUUUCCAGAGGGUCCUGCGGGGCUACUUCUGUUCUAGCACGAAUGGGAACAAAGGUGUCCUGAAAUCUCCCUCCUCUUUUCCUUGGUCUUUUUUUUUUUUUUUUUUUAAUUUCCUUGGUAUUUCUGAUACAUAUUUUAAACUUCAUUAUUCAUUUUUCCUUUAUUUUCUUCCUGGGUGACCUAGGUGUAUAUUGCUAAUGAUUUUUGGGGGGAUGGGGAGAGAGGUAGAACAAGCCUAGGGCUUAAUUCUUCUUUCGAUUUACAAAAAGAAAGCUGUUUCCCCUUCAAAGGCUGUUGCAUGCUGGUAGUAGAGGUUUGCCUGGCUGCAUUCUUACUGCUUACAGCCUUGGGAAGAUGACACAAUGAGAGCAGAAAUGGGAAUCUGCACUGUGUGCAUUUCCUUUGAAGCCUGGACUUUGUGAGGCGAUGUUAUAUUAUCGAUUCUUUGGCUUUUAAAAGGAAUAUUCUGCUUUUCUAUCAGCUCUGUUGUGCUCUCAGGCCCUGGGAGCACCAGUCAGAAGUCCUGGCUCAUGAGGGCAAAGCAUUUAUGGCUGCUGUCCUCUGACUCUUUGUAGCUAAUCUGUUUGGUUUGAAAGAGCAGUGCAGUGCACUGGGAUAUGUCCUUCCCUGGAGGGAUGCAGUAAUCC